CAGUGGCUUGGUCAUCCUCACAGCUCUGUCCCCCCCGAACACCGCAGGGGGUGGCGGGUCGCCCCAUACUCUGCGCCCGAGCUCGGCCCCAUCCCUCCAGAUGCUUCCAGCAGUGGGAAGGCCAGAGGAGAAACGGCUCCAAGCCCCCCUCCACUGAGCCCGAGGCGCACCGCCCAGGGUGGCUGAGUAGAGCCAAGCCAUCGGGAGCAUGUUCACAGGGCCCAGGACAGAGCCUGGCACCAACUGGCAGUGUUUAUAUGAUGAGUAACCACCGUUACUAUAGUUUGGUACAGACUUGCUCCUUGGAAGGGCAGAUCACCUUAAAAUUAAACUGGAAAGGAGCUCAUGUCAAAGAUGGCAUCCUGAACACCAAAAGCGCAGCACCGCUGGCAGCACAGUGUUUUAACAGCCUGAAGCCACGAAGACAGACAGAACCACAAGAGGUAACAGCGAGAACAGGAGAUGGGCGAGCGGAACCGACCAGUCAACCCCACGGAGCGCCCAGAAGGUGAACCUGGAAGAGGGAAGGGCCGCAGGUGGGAGGAGUGACUGCAAGGGGCUCUCCACGUCCCCUCCUCCGCCCUAGCUGCCCAGUGAGGGCAAACCCAGGGUCCCAGGUUCAAGGACAGAGCGGAGGGAGAGGGCACCACACUGAACACCAUGCAGUAAGCAAACCUCUCCGUGCCGAGACCUGCAGCCUCCUUCCCGGGGGGCCCGGUGCUGGUGCCGGACUUACCCUGCAGGCUACAGCCUGAAGGCAAGGACCUGACUCCUGCAGCACCGAGCCCUGCCGGAAGCCAUCAAAAAUCACCUGCCACCGGGGGCUGCCAGGUAAAAUACAGGAAGCCCAGUUCAAUGUGGAUUUCAGGCAAGCAUCAAGCCAGAGCAGGAGUAAAGACUAGGAAUUUUCAGCAGGGCUACGAAGCGCCCCGGCUCGCCGAUUCAACAGCCCUGUGCAGGGUACUUGUGUGGGGCGGGGGGCCCCUGGAGCCUCGGGGAUGCUGCCCGUCCUAGGAAAAAGCAGCUUUGAGCCAAGUCCUCUCACCUCUUACCCUCUGUACUCAGCUGCCUCCCCCUGAAUCCUGGGGCGGCCCGGUUAGGUUCCUACUUCUGCUCUAACAAAUUACCGCCACUUUAGUGGCUUAAAAUAACACACAUUGAUUAUCUUACAGUCUGGAGCUCGGAACUCCAAAAUCGGUGUCUGCGUUAAAACCGAGGUGUCCGCAGGCUCUGUUCCUUCUGGAGGCGGCGCCACGUUCAGGACGGUCUGGGACACUCUCUCCGCCCCAAGAUUAAUCCUUAACUUAAUCUCAUCUGCAAAGACUCUUUUGCCUUGGGAGCUGACAUUUACAGGCUCUGGGGACAAGGACGUGGAUACUUAGGGGCCGUUCCUCCGCCCGCCUGGGCCUGGUACUGAUCGACAUGACAACAGGGCAGGAGGGCAGAGGGGGGCGGGCGGCCACCAGAAGCUGAAACGUCAAGGCAACAACGUCUAUUGGAGCCUGAGAAAAGCCCCCAGAACGGCACAAGAAUAGAUCUGUGCUGUAAGCCGCCAGAUCGGGGGAAGUUUCGCACUGUGCCUGGGUCUUAAUUUAUAACAGAGAAUGAGUGUUCACACGGGGGGUGGGGGGCUCAUGCCCUUGAAAGAAGGUUCAAGCCUCCCACCACCCUGGGGACAGAGACGCGCCACACCAUGCAGGGGGCCACGGAGCCGGCCACACAUGGAGGUCAGGAAACAGACAGAGGCACCGGGCUGCGCCUUCACGACCACGGUGGCAGGAAGGAGCCGGGGAGGUGUCCCUUGGGGGUCAGGAGAGCCGUGGGCCCACGACAGCACUGCUCGGGCCACGAGCGUGGCCCUGUGACCCGGCAGACACGUGGGGACCUCGGGAGUAAUGUGUCAGGAAGUUCACGUGGGAUUGGCAGUGGUUAAUACAUAACUGACACAUUAUCCCAGCAGCCCAAGGAAACUAACAUGCCGCUCCUGGGAAGUAGCUUUCUGGCAUCGUCGAGCAUGGGCCUGACAGUGGAGAGGAAGCCAGGAGCCAGGCUGCAGGGGCUGGUGCCGGAGGGUGGCUCUCCUCCCUGAGUCCCGGGAGACUGCAGGGCACCCUGGGGAGCCCCGUCCAGGAGUCUUGGACGUCUGACCCCAUGCUCAAGACCGGUUGCUCGGAAGCCACAGUCCCCUCAGCGUGGACAGGGCAUCACCACACGGAGGGCGGCAGUGAGGAGGAUCCUGGACGGCCUCGGUCAACAUGCCGAUCUGGGGCUGAUGCUGAAAGACGCCCGAGGGGACAAGCUCUGGGCUCUCAUGGCCCAAGGAGAGCCCCAGGAAGGCAAAACCCCAAACAGAACGGCCUGGGGAAAUCUGCCGAGGCUGGGCCCCUCUCUGCGAGCGGAGCCUGGAGGUGGAGGAGGUGGAAGGCCCCAGAACGUUCCUGAGGUCUUCGCCAGCUCAGCGUCUCAGGGUGCGCUGAACUUGGCUGCGGCCGGGAGGAAGAAUUACGGCUUGUGAGUCGGGAAAGCGAGAAGCAGCCUGGGCUCCCCCCGCCGCCCCUCCCGCGCGAGACACUGGGGUGGGAAGUUCAGGAUGAAUUUCAACUGUGAAGACCAAGGUGAUUUAGAAGGUAAAACAUUUGCGUUUGUGUCAGAUUUCUACACCUUCCCCCGCAGCGGCCAGGCGCCCCCGCUCCCCACACCGCAUCGCUCAGCCCGCGCCCCCCUGAUGACAGCCGGCUUCGGGGGCUCACGUCUGCAGGUUAGAGCCGUCCACAGCCCUCCCGCUCCCCCGGGGCCCGCCGGAGCCUUCCGCGGACCUGCACCUCUGGCCGGGCCACCCGGGGAGGAAGCGCACUCUCCUGCCUGUGGUCUUCCCAGCACUGAGGGGCCAGAUCGCACACACUGUCCCCAUUGUACGCAGGAGCCCGGGCUGGCCGGGGGCCAGGCUCACCCCCAGCCCCCGUUAUUACAGAUUUUUAAAAUCCUAGUAUUUAUGCA